UCCUACGGGAGGCAGCAGUGAGGAAUAUUGGUCAAUGGGAGAGAUCCUGAACCAGCCAAGCCGCGUGAGGGAAGACGGCCCUAUGGGUUGUAAACCUCUUUUGUCGGAGAACAAAACCCGGGACGUGUCCCGGACUGCGUGUAUCCGAAGAAAAAGCAUCGGCUAACUCCGUGCCAGCAGCCGCGGUAAUACGUAGGGGGCAAGCGUUAUCCGGAUUUACUGGGUGUAAAGGGAGCGUAGACGGCCAGACAAGUCUGAAGUGAAAAUCCAGCGCUUAACGUUGGAAGUGCUUUGGAAA
rnacentral:rRNA from 1 species